UACGUAGGGUGCGAGCGUUAAUCGGAACUACUGGGCGUAAAGCGUGCGCAGGCGGUUUUGUAAGCCAGAUGUGAAAUCCCCGGGCUUAACCUGGGAAUGGCAUUUGGGACUGCAAGGCUGGAGUUUGGCAGAGGAGACUGGAAUUCCUGGUGUAGCAGUGAAAUGCGUAGAUAUCAGGAGGAAUACCGAUGGCGAAGGCAGGUCUCUGGGCUAUAACUGACGCUCAUGCACGAAAGCGUGGGGAGCAAACAGG
rnacentral:rRNA from 1 species